rnacentral:rRNA from 1 species
CCUGGCGGCCGUAGCGCGGUGGUCCCACCUGACCCCAUGCCGAACUCAGAAGUGAAACCGCCGUAGCGCCGAUGGUAGUGUGGGGUCUCCCCAUGUGAGAGUAGGGAACCGCCAGGU